rnacentral:rRNA from 1 species
CAUGCCGCGUGUGUGAGAAGGCCUUCGGGUUGUAAAGCACUUUUGUCCGGAAAGAAAACUUCGGGGUUAAUACCUCUGGAGGAUGACGGUACCGGAAGAAUAAGCACCGGCUAACUACGUGCCAGCAGCCGCGGUAAUACGUAGGGUGCGAGCGUUAAUCGGAAUUACUGGGCGUAAAGCGUGCGCAGGCGGUCUGUUAAGACAGAUGUGAAAUCCCCGGGCUUAACCUGGGAACUGCAUUUGUGACUGGCAGGCUAGAGUAUGGCAGAGGGGGGUAGAAUUCCACGUGUAGCAGUGAAAUGCGUAGAGAUGUGGAGGAAUACCGAUGGCGAAGGCAGCCCCCUGGGCCAAUACUGACGCUCAUGCACGAAAGCGUGGGGAGCAAACA